AAACUAACAAGGAUUCCCCUAGUAACGGCGAGUGAAGCGGGAAAAGCUCAACUUUGUAAUCUGGCUGUUUCACAGUCCGAGUUGUAGUCUCGAGAAGCGAUAUCCGCGCCGGACCUUAGCCAUGUCUGUUGGAAUACAGUGUCAAAGAGGGUGAGAAUCCCGUACAUACUAAGGACGACCGUGUGCAUUGUGAUACGUUUUCCAAGAGUCGAGUUGUUUGGGAAUGCAGCUCAAAUUGGGUGGUAAAUUCCAUCUAAAGCUAAAUAUUGGCGAGAGACCGAUAGCGAACAAGUACCGUGAGGGAAAGAUGAAAAGCACUUUGGAAAGAGAAUGAAAUAGUAUGUGAAAUUGCUGGAAGGGAAACGUUUGAGGUUAGACUUGCUUUUGUGGUAUUCAGCCCUUACGGGUGUAUUUGCCGCUUGAUGCAGGCCAGCAUCGGUUUGAGCCGUUGUAUAAGGGUAGAGAGAACGUAGCUAGCUUGCUAGUGUUAUAGCUUUUUACUGGAUGCAAAGGUGCAGACCGAGGAACGCAGCGCGCCGCAAGGAAAAACUUACGAGUUUAAAGCGCUUAGGAUGCUGGUAGAAUAGCCUUAACCGA
rnacentral:rRNA from 1 species